rnacentral:lncRNA from 1 species
AAUACAAAUUAAUAUACCAGAUAGAUGAAUAUUAAAGACUAAAAGAGAGGGGGAGAAGCAGAAGACAGUGUAUGUGUAGUAUACAUGUGGAGGUGCUCAUUUAUUGCUGACAAAGGAGGAGGGGGUUGAAGAGAGAAAUGAUAAUAAUAAUAAUAAGAAGAAGAAGAAGAAGAAGAAUACCAAAAAUAAUAAAUUCAAAGGCAUAAAAAUAAGAUAAAAAAAAGAAGUGAAAACAUGAAAUGGAUAAAUAAAAUGAGAACUGAGGA